rnacentral:rRNA from 1 species
ACGCGCGCUGGCGGCGUGCUUCACCCAUGCAAGUCGAACGGAAAGGCCCUGCUUUUGUGGGGUGCUCGAGUGGCGAACGGGUGAGUAACACGUGAGUAACCUGCCCUUGACUUUGGGAUAACUUCAGGAAACUGGGGCUAAUACCGGAUAGGAGCUCCUGCUGCAUGGUGGGGGUUGGAAAGUUUCGGCGGUUGGGGAUGGACUCGCGGCUUAUCAGCUUGUUGGUGGGGUAGUGGCUUACCAAGGCUUUGACGGGUAGCCGGCCUGAGAGGGUGACCGGCCACAUUGGGACUGAGAUACGGCCCAGACUCCUACGGGAGGCAGCAGUGGGGAAUAUUGCACAAUGGGCGGAAGCCUGAUGCAGCAACGCCGCGUGCGGGAUGACGGCCUUCGGGUUGUAAACCGCUUUCGCCUGUGACGAAGCGUGAGUGACGGUAAUGGGUAAAGAAGCACCGGCUAACUACGUG